rnacentral:rRNA from 1 species
UACGUAGGGUGCGAGCGUUGUCCGGAUUUAUUGGGCGUAAAGAGCGUGUAGGCGGCCAGACAGGUCCGUUGUGAAAACUCGAGGCUCAACCUCGAGAUGUCGAUGGAAACCGUCUGGCUAGAGUCCGGAAGAGGAGUGUGGAAUUCCUGGUGUAGCGGUGAAAUGCGCAGAUAUCAGGAAGAACACCUAUGGCGAAGGCAGCACUCUGGGACGGUACUGACGCUGAGACGCGAAAGCGUGGGGAGCGAACAGG